AGCGUACACGGUGGAUGCCCUGGCAGUCAGAGGCGAUGAAGGACGUGCUAAUCUGCGAUAAGCGUCGGUAAGGUGAUAUGAACCGUUAUAACCGGCGAUUUCCGAAUGGGGAAACCCAGUGUGAUUCGUCACACUAUCAUUAACUGAAUCCAUAGGUUAAUGAGGCGAACCGGGGGAACUGAAACAUCUAAGUACCCCGAGGAAAAGAAAUCAACCGAGAUUCCCCCAGUAGCGGCGAGCGAACGGGGAGCAGCCCAGAGCCUGAAUCAGUGUGUGUGUUAGUGGAAGCGUCUGGAAAGGCGCGCGAUACAGGGUGACAGCCCCGUACACAAAAAUGCACAUGCUGUGAGCUCGAUGAGUAGGGCGGGACACGUGGUAUCCUGUCUGAAUAUGGGGGGACCAUCCUCCAAGGCUAAAUACUCCUGACUGACCGAUAGUGAACCAGUACCGUGAGGGAAAGGCGAAAAGAACCCCGGCGAGGGGAGUGAAAAAGAACCUGAAACCGUGUACGUACAAGCAGUGGGAGCCUCUUAAUGGGGUGACUGCGUACCUUUUGUAUAAUGGGUCAGCGACUUAUAUUCUGUAGCAAGGUUAACCGAAUAGGGGAGCCGAAGGGAAACCGAGUCUUAACUGGGCGUUAAGUUGCAGGGUAUAGACCCGAAACCCGGUGAUCUAGCCAUGGGCAGGUUGAAGGUUGGGUAACACUAACUGGAGGACCGAACCGACUAAUGUUGAAAAAUUAGCGGAUGACUUGUGGCUGGGGGUGAAAGGCCAAUCAAACCGGGAGAUAGCUGGUUCUCCCCGAAAGCUAUUUAGGUAGCGCCUCGUGAAUUCAUCUCCGGGGGUAGAGCACUGUUUCGGCAAGGGGGUCAUCCCGACUUACCAACCCGAUGCAAACUGCGAAUACCGGAGAAUGUUAUCACGGGAGACACACGGCGGGUGCUAACGUCCGUCGUGAAGAGGGAAACAACCCAGACCGCCAGCUAAGGUCCCAAAGUCAUGGUUAAGUGGGAAACGAUGUGGGAAGGCCCAGACAGCCAGGAUGUUGGCUUAGAAGCAGCCAUCAUUUAAAGAAAGCGUAAUAGCUCACUGGUCGAGUCGGCCUGCGCGGAAGAUGUAACGGGGCUAAACCAUGCACCGAAGCUGCGGCAGCGACGCUUAUGCGUUGUUGGGUAGGGGAGCGUUCUGUAAGCCUGCGAAGGUGUACUGUGAGGUAUGCUGGAGGUAUCAGAAGUGCGAAUGCUGACAUAAGUAACGAUAAAGCGGGUGAAAAGCCCGCUCGCCGGAAGACCAAGGGUUCCUGUCCAACGUUAAUCGGGGCAGGGUGAGUCGACCCCUAAGGCGAGGCCGAAAGGCGUAGUCGAUGGGAAACAGGUUAAUAUUCCUGUACUUGGUGUUACUGCGAAGGGGGGACGGAGAAGGCUAUGUUGGCCGGGCGACGGUUGUCCCGGUUUAAGCGUGUAGGCUGGUUUUCCAGGCAAAUCCGGAAAAUCAAGGCUGAGGCGUGAUGACGAGGCACUACGGUGCUGAAGCAACAAAUGCCCUGCUUCCAGGAAAAGCCUCUAAGCAUCAGGUAACAUCAAAUCGUACCCCAAACCGACACAGGUGGUCAGGUAGAGAAUACCAAGGCGCUUGAGAGAACUCGGGUGAAGGAACUAGGCAAAAUGGUGCCGUAACUUCGGGAGAAGGCACGCUGAUAUGUAGGUGAAGCGACUUGCUCGUGGAGCUGAAAUCAGUCGAAGAUACCAGCUGGCUGCAACUGUUUAUUAAAAACACAGCACUGUGCAAACACGAAAGUGGACGUAUACGGUGUGACGCCUGCCCGGUGCCGGAAGGUUAAUUGAUGGGGUUAGCGGUAACGCGAAGCUCUUGAUCGAAGCCCCGGUAAACGGCGGCCGUAACUAUAACGGUCCUAAGGUAGCGAAAUUCCUUGUCGGGUAAGUUCCGACCUGCACGAAUGGCGUAAUGAUGGCCAGGCUGUCUCCACCCGAGACUCAGUGAAAUUGAACUCGCUGUGAAGAUGCAGUGUACCCGCGGCAAGACGGAAAGACCCCGUGAACCUUUACUAUAGCUUGACACUGAACAUUGAGCCUUGAUGUGUAGGAUAGGUGGGAGGCUUUGAAGUGUGGACGCCAGUCUGCAUGGAGCCGACCUUGAAAUACCACCCUUUAAUGUUUGAUGUUCUAACGUUGGCCCCUAAUCGGGGUUGCGGACAGUGUCUGGUGGGUAGUUUGACUGGGGCGGUCUCCUCCUAAAGAGUAACGGAGGAGCACGAAGGUUGGCUAAUCCUGGUCGGACAUCAGGAGGUUAGUGCAAUGGCAUAAGCCAGCUUGACUGCGAGCGUGACGGCGCGAGCAGGUGCGAAAGCAGGUCAUAGUGAUCCGGUGGUUCUGAAUGGAAGGGCCAUCGCUCAACGGAUAAAAGGUACUCCGGGGAUAACAGGCUGAUACCGCCCAAGAGUUCAUAUCGACGGCGGUGUUUGGCACCUCGAUGUCGGCUCAUCACAUCCUGGGGCUGAAGUAGGUCCCAAGGGUAUGGCUGUUCGCCAUUUAAAGUGGUACGCGAGCUGGGUUUAGAACGUCGUGAGACAGUUCGGUCCCUAUCUGCCGUGGGCGCUGGAGAACUGAGGGGGGCUGCUCCUAGUACGAGAGGACCGGAGUGGACGCAUCACUGGUGUUCGGGUUGUCAUGCCAAUGGCACUGCCCGGUAGCUAAAUGCGGAAGAGAUAAGUGCUGAAAGCAUCUAAGCACGAAACUUGCCCCGAGAUGAGUUCUCCCUGACUCCUUGA
rnacentral:rRNA from 1 species